rnacentral:rRNA from 1 species
AUUGAACGCUGGCGGCAGGCCUAACACAUGCAAGUCGAGCGGAUGAAGGGAGCUUGCUCCUGGAUUCAGCGGCGGACGGGUGAGUAAUGCCUAGGAAUCUGCCUGGUAGUGGGGGAUAACGUCCGGAAACGGGCGCUAAUACCGCAUACGUCCUGAGGGAGAAAGUGGGGGAUCUUCGGACCUCACGCUAUCAGAUGAGCCUAGGUCGGAUUAGCUAGUUGGUGGGGUAAAGGCCUACCAAGGCGACGAUCCGUAACUGGUCUGAGAGGAUGAUCAGUCACACUGGAACUGAGACACGGCCCAGACUCCUACGGGAGGCAGCAGUGGGGAAUAUUGGACAAUGGGCGAAAGCCUGAUCCAGCCAUGCCGCGUGUGUGAAGAAGGUCUUCGGAUUGUAAAGCACUUUAAGUUGGGAGGAAGGGCAGUAAGUUAAUACCUUGCUGUUUUGACGUUACCAACAGAAUAAGCACCGGCUAACCUCGUG